UAAGCAUAUCAAUAAGCGGAGGAAAAGAAACUAACAAGGAUUCCCUUAGUAACUGCGAGUGAAGAGGGAAAAGCUCAAAUUUAAAAUCUGACAGUGUUUUGCUGUCCGAGUUGUAACCUAGAGAAGUGUAACCUGUGCUGGACCAUGUACAAGUCUCCUGGAAUGGAGCAUCGCAGAGGGUGAGAAUCCCGUGUUUGACAUGGACUACCAGUGCAUUGUGGUUGUGCUCUCAACGAGUCGAGUUGUUUGGGAAUGCAGCUCUAAAUGGGUGGUAAAUUCCAUCUAAAGCUAAAUAUUGGCGAGAGACCGAUAGCGAACAAGUACCGUGAGGGAAAGAUGAAAAGAACUUUGGAAAGAGAGUUAAACAGUAUGUGAAAUUGUUGAAAGGGAAACGUUUGAAGUCAGUCAUGUUGGGUGGGGAUCAGCCUGGCAGAUUGUUGGGUGUACUUCCUGGUUGACGGGCCAACAUCAGUUUUGACUGCCAGAGAAAGGUGAAGGGAAUGUGGCACCUUUGGGUGUGUUAUAGCUCUUUGUCGUAUGUGGUGGUUGGGACUGAGGAAAGCAGUGCGCCGAAAGGCAGGGUUUCGACCACAUUCGCACUGAGGAUGUUGGCAUAAUGGCUUUAAGCGACCCGUCUUGAAACACGGACCAAGGAGUCUAACAUGCAUGCGAG
rnacentral:rRNA from 1 species